rnacentral:rRNA from 1 species
GACGAACGCUGGCGGCGUGCUUAACACAUGCAAGUCGAACGGAAAGGCCCUGCUUUUGUGGGGUGCUCGAGUGGCGAACGGGUGAGUAACACGUGAGUAACCUGCCCUUGACUUUGGGAUAACUUCAGGAAACUGGGGCUAAUACCGGAUAGGAGCUCCUGCUGCAUGGUGGGGGUUGGAAAGUUUCGGCGGUUGGGGAUGGACUCGCGGCUUAUCAGCUUGUUGGUGGGGUAGUGGCUUACCAAGGCUUUGACGGGUAGCCGGCCUGAGAGGGUGACCGGCCACAUUGGGACUGAGCUACGGCCCAGACUCCUCCGGGAGGCAGCAGUGGGGAAUAUUGCACAAUGGGCGGAAGCCUGAUGCAGCAACGCCGCGUGCGGGAUGACGGCCUUCGGGUUGUAAACCGCUUUCGCCUGUGACGAAGCGUGAGUGACGGUAAUGGGUAAAGAAGCCCCGGCUAACUACGUG